rnacentral:rRNA from 1 species
UACGGAGGGAGCUAGCGUUAUUCGGAAUUACUGGGCGUAAAGCGCACGUAGGCGGCUUUGUAAGUAAGAGGUGAAAGCCCAGAGCUCAACUCUGGAAUUGCCUUUUAGACUGCAUCGCUUGAAUCAUGGAGAGGUCAGUGGAAUUCCGAGUGUAGAGGUGAAAUUCGUAGAUAUUCGGAAGAACACCAGUGGCGAAGGCGGCUGACUGGACAUGUAUUGACGCUGAGGUGCGAAAGCGUGGGGAGCAACAGG